UUUACCCAUAUUGGAUCGAUGUAAGUUUGUGUAUAGCACAAGGACAAUCUACAACUCCAAUCACAAUAUGUAUGCCUUCAAGGAAGGGUUGGAAGCUCGUUGAUGAUGUUGAAUUUUUUAUAAAUGGUUCGCGGAUGGCUAUAAGCCAGGACACAUGUAAGUUUGAGUUUGAAGAUAUGUGAUAAUGCAAAGUGGAUUCAUCAGAAAUUUAUAUUGUUCUUAUAUCUAUCUGCAUUUCAGCAAAUUCAAGUUUCCACCAUCAAAGGACGUGAUCAACCCACCAUUCCAAUUUGGACAUUACAUUGUCUACACAAAGACAUGGUGGCGCGAACUAUACCAACGAAAUGUAAGGUUAUAUGGAGAUAUAUAAAUUUUUUAAAGUUUUGCAUGCAUACCUUCAAUGAGCAUACACUCAACAUGUUCUCCACAUCAAGUGUUGCAUCACUUAACUUACUUUUUUCAACGACGAUACAGCCAUGGGUACAGUAUUUAUUCGAUAAGUUGCCAGAAUAUAUUAUA
rnacentral:lncRNA from 1 species